GAGCAUUUUUGGUUACGAGAAAGAAGAAAUAUGCUGCCGUGAAAUCGAGAAAGAGAGAGCCACACCGGCAGCAUAUUUCUUCUUUCUCGUAACCAAAAAUGCUC